GUCAGUCUCUCCUCCCUGUAGCGUCAGGGAAAGGCUCGGGAGGGUGCCCAGAGAGAGAGGAUUUUCCCCGAAGAGCUCUGCCAUUCCUACGAAAUUCAGGACCUCUGUGGUUAGAAAGGAGACAGAAAUUUCUGCCCAGUUCUUUUGGACACGGAAGCGGGGCGAGAGGGCCAAGUCCUUGAUCACCAGCCUGUGAUCCCACUAAGGUUGCCCUUCCAGCCCUGGCUUCUUGGUCGUCUCGGAGGCAGCGAUUGGUGGCCCAGGCUAGCUUAGCAGUCACUGGAAAGGCAGGGUGCAGGAAGCCCUGAUUCCCUUGAGAGCUUUGGGCUUGGUGGAGUCCAGAGUCCGAUCUGUUCCUGUUUAGCUUCUCUGCCCUGUGCUGGCCCUUGGCUGAGUGUGUGUGUGUGUGUGUGUGUGUGUGUGUGUGUGUGUGUGUGUGUGUGUGGCUCUGAGCAGAUGCCCUCCCCAGCCCUCACACCAGAUGUCUUUGGUCUAAUUAACUCUGCUGGGAAAACCAACCUGGGUUUGUAAACAGAGCUACUGGCUAAAGUCAACAGGGAACAGCAGCAAACAGCAAACAUUCCCCUCACACUCAGCUCCUGUCCAAUUCAGCCCCUCUGCCCCCCAAGAGAGAGGGGUAGUGGGAUGGAUCAGAGCCCCCCUGCCCCCGCUGAGUCAGUGGAAGCCUGUCUGCCUCUGUGACCCCAAUAUGGCUGCCAUUUCCUUGCCUGUUCCAGGGUCUCUACUGGGAAGGAACGGGGAUUCUGGAAAGAGCAGUUGCCAUUCCGAGACAGGCUCUGUCCCCCUUCCAACCAUUUCUCUGUAAAUAUUGGCACCUUCUCGGCCAAACAUCUCAAUGCACCGGGAAGCCACUGUGGAGGGACUCCUUGAGGAGCUUUCUUUAGGGCCUGCCCUGCUUUUCUGUCUUGGAGAAGUCUCUGUGGGCAGGGCUUGGCAUUGUGAGUCUCAGCUCAGAGCUGGUGAAUAGAACGGACAUCAAUCAUCUCAGAGGCUAAAUAACAAGUGUUUCCUCACCAGCAGAAAAAAAAUCCUCUCCUGUUUUAACCACAUCCAGCCUCUUUAUUCGAGCGAGGCUUCCUGCUUCCUGCAACUGUGACACGCCCUUCUCCUUAGAGGAUUCUUAGUCUCAGAGGUCCCUGCCUUGCGCCUCAUUCCCUCAGGGCUCUACUCUGUGACUUUUAAG
rnacentral:lncRNA from 1 species